UCUUUUUGAUAAAUCAUACACCUCUAUGCGGUGAGCAGUAGGCAACGAUCUUAUGAUUGGCUGAGAAGUGAAG
rnacentral:ribozyme from 1 species